UAAAGUAAGAAUUUAAUUUUGGUUCAGAUUGAACGUUUUUCAGUAGUUUUAAGACAUGCAAAUCGUUGUUUUCGAAAUAUGUUAUUACUAUUUAUAGUACUAAUAAUAUUAGGGAAUAAGGUGUAUAGGUGAGGAUAUUAAAUAAGAUACCCUUUAGUCUUCAUAAAUAGGAGAUAUUACAAAAUAAAGGAAAGUUUCUGCUAAAGGAUUCUAUUUAUUUCGAUUAGGUAGUUGAUAGGGUAAUGGCCUAACAAGCCUACGAUCGAUAGCUAAGCUUGAAAGAGCCAAUGGCCACAUUGGGAAUGAGAUCUCCCAAGUAGUUUUAUUAAUACUACCAGCAGUCGAGAAUAUUAGUCAAUGCUCGCAAGAGUGAACUAGCUAACUGAAAUCACUAGUGUGUCACAAGUGAUGUCGUAAGAGGAAAAUAAAUGAUAUUACCUUACUAAUAGUGUCGUCAAAAGCUGGUGCCAGAAGACUCGGUAAGACCAGAGACGCAAACGUUAAUCAUCAUAAACAGGCGUAAAGGGUUUGUAGGCUGCUUUGAAUAAAUAAAGCUAGAAUCAAAUAGAGGUUAUUUUAAAGAACACUUGGAGCUAGGGAUUAAAUCCAUAGAUACUAAGGAGAAUACUUAAGGCGAAAGCAUUUAACCACUACUGAUUGACGCUGAGAAACGAAAGGGAGGAGAGGAAAUAGGAUGUGCGACUUGCAAAGUCUAAACAUGUAUUGGACGCUUAGUGUCCAUUAUUUUUCGUCUAAUAAUAGCCGACCUAGACAUGCAAGAGGAUUUAUUAGUAUAAUUAACUAAGUUCCUAUAGCAGUAAUGUUCUUGUGUGAAGCUCUAGUGUAAUCGAUAUUGGGCCAUCUACCCAUAAUGCCAAAUAAUAUCUGGGACAAUCAGAUCAAAAUAGUAUUAGUUUUGUUGGUAGUACUCGAUGAAGGCUGAUUCCUAUGGUUAGGGAAACCGAACUUAUGUAACUAAAGCAUAUUAAUUAGGCAACUAAUCGUCCUAGUUAGUUGAAGACGAACAAACAGUUAAUAUUGCAAAGUAAGAACCUAAGGGAAUCUAUCGUACAUGUUUAGGAACAAGGUAAUGCCUAUAACUUGUAGGGAUGGUACGAUAAAACAAGGAUCUUGCUCUCCUGCAUCCUAUAGGGCAGCUGAGGCGCCUUGUUUUUAAAGAUCUCCCAACUAGCUUCUCCGUAAGAAGAAGUAUUUAGUUAGAGGUAAUAUGAUUUAGAAUAAAGCGAAUGUCACUUUGUAAUGAAUUGAAUAGACCCUCAAUAUCUUUAAGAAAAUUCAAAUUGUAUUGUGGGGUUACCUGAAAAGGUGCCUACUUUCUAAAGGUGCUAUAUAUUUGUUUUGAUAACUUUCUUUAAUAUCUUAAAUGCUUUAUUUCUCUUAUUAGCCCGGGGGACAACAAGUCUUACAAGCUCUGCGCAAGCGAGUACGGGCACCCAAUCCUGGGUGUAUAGUGAUAUAGUUUUUUGUUAGUUGUUAGUUUAAGUAUAAAAAAUAAGUAUAUAGUGCUCGAGCCGUAUGCGCUGAAAGGCGCACGUACGGUUCUUAGGAGGGGAAAGUUCGUGAGGACCUACCUAUUCCAAAUAGAUACCCCGGUACCCCUCCCCGUCAACGAUGAAUGGUAGUUUUUAGUGAAAUAACACUAGAGGCGAUGUUAACACGUUAACCAUUCCGCCUUGUGAGUACGAUUGCAAAAUUGAAAACAAAAAAAUUAGUCGGUUUCGAAGCAAACGAAGUGAAGCAUGUUAUUUAAUACGAUAACCCGCGUAAAACCUUACCAGUUCUUGUAUAAAACUUCAAUUUCGGCCGAACCUGAAAGUCCAUUUGAUGGUCUUGCCCCUACGGGACUGGGAGGUUGAAUAAGAAGAAUUCUCAAUAUUGUUUAUAAUAUAAAAAGAGAAGUAAACUACAGGUGUUGCAUGGUGCGACACGAAGCUCGUAAUAGUAAUGAGACGUGAUUGUCUCCAGCUAUAUUCCUAGCUGAGUCUAGAUAAACAUGCGUUGACACAAAGUCAGGGUAUGAAGCUUUAUCGACAAAGAUCCUCAUGUACUCUUCUGUUUGCGCUCCGCAUCCGUACUUGCUUGUUGUCCUGUACAUGCUGGAUAUUCCGUACGGCACAAAUAGCUGAGGCAGAUAAUGAGGGUUUAGACUGAAGGAUAAAAGGUUAAACGAGAGUGAAGAUGCGUAAAUUUAAAAAACGGUUAACAAAUUUUUAGAUAAUUGAUAAUUUAAUUUAGUUUAAAAAUUGGAAUGGAGCGAGCUGUUCAUGCAGGCGAAGCCGGAAUCGAUAAAAUCCAACCGUUAACAGUAUCUAACCAAAAUCCUAAUCUUGUAUUAUUACGGGAACGUGGUAAACCCUAUGAUCUCCUAAAUUCCUUAUUUUUUGUAUUUGAAAGAAAUUUGCGUUUAGGAGGUAGUUUAUAACCAUUUACAUGAGGAAGUGGUGGGAAGUAACUAUAUCGAUCAGAGGGCAUAGGAAAUUUGAAAAAGCGAAUGCUACUUCUGUAAUGGAAUAGAUAGAACUUAUGUUCACGUUGAAAGACGGCUGACUUCAAAUUGGUGUUCAAUGUAUUUAAUUAUUUUGGUACGCUUCUUGUAUUUGAAAAAAAUGUUCAAAUUUUAACAUAAGAUUGUAAUUAGAUAUGCGGAAAAUAAUUUCUUGAUAAAUAAAAUUGGUUUUUUCUUUUUUUAUUGAAAGGAGAAAGAGAUUCCCCUUUAUUUUUUCUUCCCAGCACAAAUCAAAAUAAAUCCCCCCCCGGCCGCACAAUAUCUUUAAGAAAAUUGUAUUGUCAAAUAGCCGGGUAUUGGAGAGGAAACAAGGAUCUAGUAAAUUUUAAUUAAAAAUAAAGUUUGAAUGCUUGAGCCGUGUGCUGGGGAACUAGCAUGCACGGUUCUUAGGGGGGGAAAGGCUUAAGGCCCUACCUAUCCCAACGCUGUCGUCAGUCCGUAUCGUCAGAAGUUUGGUUAAUUCCUCUAACGGACGAAAUCCCAGUUGUUAAUUUAUUCUUAACAAUUAAUGGUUCUGAUAAAGUUCCAUUUGGGGCAAAGACAAGUCGUUAUGGCCCUCAUGAACUGGGCUGAUUUGCAUUUUGGGACAAUGCAAUUUUGGCUAAAACUACCAAACUCCGGGGACACCCUAAAGCUUCUGAUAUCAAGCUAUAGUCGAAAGGCUAUAUGUGGCUGGAGUAAUGACCCAGGUAUGGUAACAAGUCAGAAGAUAGAUGAAAAUCAAAUGGGCUAUCGCGGAUCUAAAUCAGUAACUAAUACUGUAAAAGAGCAACGAGUAGACGGUAGUUGACUUCUAAAUAGAAGUUUAAGGUGUACUCUAAUGGGAAGAGAAAUCUUUUAUCAAAUCAAAAACCCUACUAACCAAUUAUUUAAAACUGCUUAUUCUACUUUAUCUAAUCAGGUUAAAAUCAAUCCUUGGUUUAUAACUGGAUUUGCUGAUGCUGAAGCUUCAUUCAUUAUUUCUAUCACCAGAAAUCUAAAAUCUAGAUUAUCUUGGCGAGUAUCAGCUCGGUUUUCUAUACAUAUUCAUAUUAAUAAUAUUCAAUUAUUAAACAAUAUUAGAGAUACUUUAGGUGUUGGUAAAGUAAGACAAGAUAGUGCUACAACUGCUAUGUAUAGUGUCGAUAAUUUCAAGGAUUUACAAGUUAUUAUCGAUCAUUUUAAUAAAUAUCCGCUAAUUGGUGUUAAAUUAUGUGAUUUUUUAAUCUUUAAGGAAUGUUAUUAUUUAAUGCAACAAAAACAACACUUAACGCAAAUUGGUCUUGAAAAAAUUAUUGCUUUAAAAUGCAAUCAAAAUUUAGGACUAUCUGAUGAAGUAAGUCAAGCUUUCCCUAAUAUAGUCCCUGUUCCUAGACCGGAUUAUCAAUUUAACGGUAUACCAAAUCCAUUUUGGAUUGCUGGUUUUGCCUCUGGGGAUUCAUGUUUUUGUGUUUCAAUUGAGAUAGCUGAUACUAAAAUAGGUAGAAGAGUAAGAUUAUGUUUUGAAACAAAUCUCCAUAUAAGAGACACUGCGCUCUUAAUUGGUAUUGCUAAUUAUUUCAAUAUUUCAGAUCCUUCUAUUUAUAAUGGUAAACUUAAAUCUAGUACUCUUCUUCAAAUUAGAGACUUUUCUCAAAACGUAAACAUAAUUAUACCAUUUUUUAAUGAAUUUCCAAUAUUAGGUGUUAGAAGCUUAGAUUUUGCUGAUUUUAAAAAAGUAGCAGAAUUAAUGAAAAAUAAAGAGCAUUUAACCCAAGACGGUUUUAAUAAAAUAACUAAAAUAGUAGCUGGAAUGAACGGUGAUAGAACGUUUUAGUUUAAUUGUAUGUUAAAUUUUGAUCUCCAUGAUAGACGUGCCACAAAAACUUUUACAAAGUGAUGCAAUGCUAAUAAAAUAGUGGAGCUAAUCAUCAAAGAAAGUUAAACAAAUAAGAUUAUAGUCGGAUUGUCAUCUGCAAUUCGGUGACAUGAAGAAGGAAUUUCGAGUAAUCGUUGAUUACUAGCGCAACGGUGAAGAUUGAAUUCGAGAUGAACUAA
rnacentral:rRNA from 1 species